UCCGUUGUAGCAAUACGAUGGAAAGUCUAGUGGCGAACGGGUGCUUAACACGUGGGCAACCUGCCGAGAAGUGGGGGACAGCUCGCCGAAAGGCGGAUUAAUACCGCAUGUGAUUAGAGAGGACAUCCUUUCGAAAUUAAAGUCGGGGCAACCUGACGCUUCUUGUGGGGCCCGCGGCCUAUCAGCUAGUUGGUGAGGUAACGGCCCACCAAGGCUUUGACGGGUAGCUGGUCUGAGAGGACGACCAGCCACACUGGGACUGAGACACGGCCCAGACACCUACGGGUGGCAGCAGUCGAGAAUUUUUCUCAAUGGGGGAAACCCUGAAGGAGCGACGCCGCGUGGAGGAUGAAGGUCUUCGGAUUGUAAACUCCUGUCAUUGGGGAACAAUGGUUACGCGUUAACUGCGCGUGACUUGAUAGUACCCGAAGAGGAAGAGACGGCUAACUCUGUGCCAGCAGCCGCGGUAAUACAGAGGUCUCAAGCGUUGUUCGGAUUCAUUGGGCGUAAAGGGUGCGUAGGCGGCGCGGUAAGUCGGGUGUGAAAUCUCGGGGCUUAACUCCGAAACUGCAUUCGAUACUGCCGUGCUUGAGGACUGGAGAGGAGACUGGAAUUCACGGUGUAGCA
rnacentral:rRNA from 1 species